rnacentral:lncRNA from 1 species
GAAAUCAUUUUAAAUUUCAGUAAGUAAAGCUUAAAAAAUGCAUAAGUUCAAUAACUAACAAAAUGUAAUGAGUAGGUAAUGUCGUGAAAUAUGUUAAAUUGUAGUGAUCACUUAUAAGUGUUUUUUUCUUCAUCUAAAUCGAUUAAUCUAAAUUUUUGCCCAAACCCACCUCUUAGAUCUUCAGUUUCUGCACUGCCCAGAGAUCAUUUCUUGAAUUUCAGGCCUUUUUCUGCGUUCUCAUCUCCAUCUCCGUUUUGCUGAAGAUUUCGAUUAUAAGACCCCCAAUUUUGUUCAGAAUCAGAAUUUGGAGGAGUCUUAGGGAAUGAGG